GCCAUCUUCUCGCGCCUAACGCUUUGUAUGGUUCUGUUCUCUGCAAGUCCGCGCACGCCGCUCAUCGGUGGAUGCAUGACUGCACGGCGUCGCAAUGCUGCCUGCGUCAUUUUCUCGUGUUCGCAUAAUCGGUGUGAGACAUGUCGCAUGUGAAGUGUUUGAUAGAAAUGCCUCCCGUCCAAGUGAAGCGGCCGUACGGGCUUCGGAAGCGUCGACGGGUUUCCGGCAUGCGGAUUUCAGAGUUCGGACUCGACUUUUGGUGAGGAUGUCGAUCGACAUUGGGCCUGGUGACAGCACACCGGACAUGGCCAAAGUGCAGCCUGUCAGUUAGUGCCCCCGAAUGGACCAUCAACAUCGAAAAAUGAAGCAGAGCCAGGGAGAAAAAGUUCCGGUAACACCAUGCAUUCAGUAUGGUGGCCCAGACGUGUAUGCAAGCAACCUCCUUCAUGUGGACAAAGAACUACUCUUCAGUGUCUCGCAGACUUCCAUGCGAAGCCCUGAACAUUCUCGUCUCAGUGGAAUGGCUGCUCAUCAGCGUGUCCAUCACCAAGACUGCCAGUUGUAAAGCUUCUGAACCCCUUUAAGAAAGCUUAAUGAUGUUUUUAUUUAAUUUCACGG